AUUGAACGCUGGCGGCAGGCCUAACACAUGCAAGUCGAGCGGAUGAAGGGGGCUUGCUCCUGGAUUCAGCGGCGGACGGGUGAGUAAUGCCUAGGAAUCUGCCUGGUAGUGGGGGAUAACGUCCGGAAACGGGCGCUAAUACCGCAUACGUCCUGAGGGAGAAAGUGGGGGAUCUUCGGACCUCACGCUCUCAGAUGAGCCUAGGUCGGAUUAGCUAGUUGGUGGGGUAAAGGCCUACCAAGGCGACGAUCCGUAACUGGUCUGAGAGGAUGAUCAGUCACACUGGAACUGAGACACGGUCCAGACUCCUACGGGAGGCAGCAGUGGGGAAUAUUGGACAAUGGGCGAAAGCCUGAUCCAGCCAUGCCGCGUGUGUGAAGAAGGUCUUCGGAUUGUAAAGCACUUUAAGUUGGGAGGAAGGGCAGUAAGUUAAUACCUUGCUGUUUUGACGUUACCAACAGAAUAAGCACCGGCUAACUUCGUG
rnacentral:rRNA from 1 species